AGCGUGGGAGAGCCGCCACCAGGGGCUCGCCAGAGGCUCAGGGGCUCCACCUGGCCCAGAACCAACACCAGCUUCUGGCACAGGCCCUCGCAGCAGGCAUCGCUUGAGAAUUAUCUCUGUUUUGAAAGAAGUUGUGUCCUUACCAUCUUUCCUGAUCCUCCAUCACCAUAAAUUCCACCCUCCAUUUUCAGGUACGCUGUGAGGCAUAUGUGACAAGUUGGUUCUGACAGCUUGGGUGUGAAAGGCAUGCCUUAAGACCUUAAGUAAAACUACACAAUUUACUGACACCCUGUAAGCGUGAAGCAUUGUUACAACUUCCUGUAUCCACUCCCUCCAUCCUAAGGCAAGAUGUCUACCCAGACCAUCAGGAGCAUCAUCCCGGACUUAACCGGCUGCCGCUGCCCCCUUGAUAACUGUUGCCUCUUCUGAGAACUAGAGAUGGCCCUGGAAAUUCAGCAUCAUGGUGUUCUUACAGGAUGGGACCACAGACUUCCUGUUUACCCUUGCUUCAGAGCUCUACUUUCCCUGAGUCCCCACAAAGCAUGGCUUGCACCAGUGGCUGUGGCUGAAACAAAA